rnacentral:rRNA from 1 species
UACGGGGGGAGCAAGCGUUGUUCGGAUUUACUGGGCGUAAAGGGCGCGUAGGCGGUCAGCACAAGUCAGUUGUGAAAUCUCCGGGCUUAACUCGGAAAGGUCAACUGAUACUGUGCGACUAGAGUGCGGAAGGGGCAACUGGAAUUCUCGGUGUAGCGGUGAAAUGCGUAGAUAUCGAGAGGAACACCUGCGGCGAAGGCGGGUUGCUGGGCCGACACUGACGCUGAUGCGCGAAAGCCAGGGGAGGCAAACGGG